CAGCUUUCGACACAGAUAAGAGAGGAAAGCCUUUCCAACCAGAUCAAAGAGUAUUUUCUAUCUGCAGUUGGUUGAAACCAGAGAUGCGGAGCGCAUGGAUACGGAGGGCUGACUGUACUUGGAACAUUUCUGUCACCAUGUGAACAAGCCUGCUCUAGCCAGGUGGAUGCUGAGAAACACGUGGCCCAGUCCUCUCCAACAUCCCAGUCAACAGCCGGCACUGCCAGAGACACGGCCAUCCAGCUCUCUGCAGCUGCCGAUAGAUUCACACGCAACCCCAGUCAAGGCCAGUAGAAUGGCCCAGUUGAGCCCUGUUCAAACUGUAACCCACAGAACCGUGACCAAAAUAAAUAGUAGUCAUUUUAAUCCA